AUUCUGUCUCUGAUCUUUGUCUAACAUCAAGUUUGACAUCUGUUCUUAUCAGUUAAAUAUCUUUUGCAUCCUUGACUUGAAGAUGUCGUGUUAAAGAGAUUUUUAGGACCAAAAGGCAGGUUGGAACUUUUUCUGUCUAUCCUAUGCCUCUGCCUGUCAUUGCAGUAUCUGCAGAAGCAGCACACCAA
rnacentral:snRNA from 1 species